rnacentral:rRNA from 1 species
UGCGUAGGCGGCGGCAUAAGUCAGAAGUGAAAGUUGGCAGCUUAACUGCAAAAUUGCUUUUGAUACCGUGUUGCUUGAAUCACGUUGAGGCUGGCGGAAUGUGGCAUGUAGCGGUGAAAUGCUUAGAUAUGCCAUAGAACACCAAUUGCGAAGGCAGCUGGCUAGACGUGUAUUGACGCUGAGGCACGAAAGCGUGGGGAGCGAACAGGAUUAGAUACCCUGGUAGUC